rnacentral:ncRNA from 24 species
GUUCCGCUUGAUGGCGGACGCACAACUGAAUGCGUACGCGAGGGAGAGAAGCCGGUGCGAGUCCGGCGCUGACCUGCAACCGUGAGCGGUGGAGUACUCCUUGCCGCGAGCCGGAUCACUCUCUCGCGUCCGUGUACUGCUUCUCA